GAGAGCAUAGCUCAGUGGCAGAGCGCAUGCUUAGCAUGCACGAGGUCCUGGGUCCAAUCCCCGGUACCUCCA
rnacentral:tRNA from 1 species